rnacentral:rRNA from 1 species
AUGGGCCCUCGACACCCAUCAAUGCACGGUGUUCUUCGACCGAUCGUUACUCUUGAUGGUGAGGAUGAUUGUGAACCCAUAUUAGGCUAUUUACACAAAGGAAUGAAAAAAAUUGUGGAAAGCCGAACUAUUAUACAAUAA